rnacentral:pre_miRNA from 1 species
AAUAAGAUUAUUUUUUAGUUUUUUUAUAUAAUAUUUUGACUCUUCGUCUUAUUUAAAAAUUUUUUUGCAGUUAAUAUUUUUAUUCUUACUCGAUGAUAAAACACGAAUAGUAUUUAUGCAUGGCUAAUUUUUUAAAGUUUUUUACAAAUUUUUCAAAUAAGACGAAGAUUCAAACAUUAGAUAGGAAAAAUAAAAAAUAAAGUUAUU